AAAACAUAUUCAGCCUUUGCUAUAUUCAGCACUCAGCAAAAGGCAAUCAAGGCAUUCGAAAAUAUUGACGGUGAACUGGAAAAGGACUCAUGUGGACGGCCACAAAAGCUUGUAAAGUUUGAGCUUGAUUCUGGAACAACUGGUUCAUUUUAUGUAUGUAAAAUUGUUGCUGACAAUUCUGUUGGCGAUGAACAAAGAAGAGGCCAGCAGAAAAUGACAGUCUUGGGACAGCGAAAAAGCCAAGAACAGAUGAAACUUUGGUACAGCUUGAGGAUUCUAAUAAAUGCUUGGAUCAUUGCGAAAUGCAUCUGAAAGAGAUCGUAAGAUUGGAGCAAGAGCUAAGUCAAAGAGAAACUGAAAUAUCGAGCUUGAAUAAAAUAAUUGCUGCACUUGCAAGGAAACAAGGACUCUAGAACAGUUCUAUGUUAAUGUCUGAGAGCAGGCUUGCUUUGGACAAAAUGGUGACAUCUAUUAACGAAAUAGGCGAUUUUACGAGGUCUGUGAUUGAUCUUGAAAGCCAUCGGCCCCUUCUGUGAGAAGCAUGGUGAAGAAAGGAGAAGGUAGCCUUGGUGACUAAUUCGCAUUUGCAGCCAGUCAAUGCUGCUUCUGUAUUUUUAGUAUCUUACAUUUUCUUUUCCUUAUUUGGAUUUUUUUCCAGUUCAUUGAGUUGCUGUAGUUUUGUUGAAGUCCUAUAAUAGGACUAAAAUUUUGAGUGAACAUUAACAUUUUGAGCCCUUAAAGCUUUAUUUGAAUUGUUUGUA